AGAGUUUGAUCAUGGCUCAGGACGAACGCUGGCGGCGUGCCUAAUACAUGCAAGUCGAGCGGAUGAAUCGAAAGCUUGCUUUUGAUUCGUUAGCGGCGGACGGGUGAGUAACACGUGGGCAACCUGCCCUGUAGACGGGGAUAACACCGAGAAAUCGGUGCUAAUACCGGAUAACACGAAAUGUCGCAUGACGUUUCGUUGAAAGACGGCGCAAGCUGUCGCUACAGGAUGGGCCCGCGGCGCAUUAGCUAGUUGGUGAGGUAACGGCUCACCAAGGCGACGAUGCGUAGCCGACCUGAGAGGGUGAUCGGCCACACUGGGACUGAGACACGGCCCAGACUCCUACGGGAGGCAGCAGUAGGGAAUCUUCCGCAAUGGACGAAAGUCUGACGGGGCAACGCCGCGUGAGCGAAGAAGGCCUUCGGGUCGUAAAGCUCUGUUGUUAGGGAAGAACAAGUAACGCAGUAACUGGCGUUACCGUGACGGUACCUAACGAGAAAGCCACGGCUAACUACGUGCCAGCAGCCGCGGUAAUACGUAGGUGGCAAGCGUUGUCCGGAAUUAUUGGGCGUAAAGCGCGCGCAGGCGGUUCCUUAAGUCUGAUGUGAAAGCCCACGGCUCAACCGUGGAGGGUCAUUGGAAACUGGGGGACUUGAGUGCAGAAGAGGAGAGCGGAAUUCCACGUGUAGCGGUGAAAUGCGUAGAGAUGUGGAGGAACACCAGUGGCGAAGGCGGCUCUCUGUUUGUAACUGACGCUGAGGCGCGAAAGCGUGGGGGAGCAAACAGGAUUAGAUACCCUG
rnacentral:rRNA from 1 species